AGCAGUCGCCGCGGUAAUACGGAGGGUGCAAGCGUUAUCCGGAUUUAUUGGGUUUAAAGGGUCCGUAGGCGGACUUAUAAGUCAGUGGUGAAAGCCUGUCGCUUAACGAUAGAACUGCCAUUGAUACUGUAAGUCUUGAGUAUAUUUGAGGUAGCUGGAAUAAGUAGUGUAGCGGUGAAAUGCAUAGAUAUUACUUAGAACACCAAUUGCGAAGGCAGGUUACCAAGAUAUAACUGACGCUGAGGGACGAAAGCGUGGGUAGCGAACAGGAUUAGAUACCCCGGUAGUCCCUGUCUCUUAUAA
rnacentral:rRNA from 1 species